UUGAUGUUGCUGCUCCUCUCCAUGUCUUCUACAUAUGGUGGAAGUGUUUCAUCUAUAGUAGUAGGCUUGGACUUCAGAAUUUUUUGGUCCAGUGUGUUUUUUGCUGCCAUAACCCCAUUGGAAUUGUUUGCUGACAUGAACAACAUAGACAUAUCCUGAAAGAGGUUAAGUGCUUCUUGUAGGGUGGUGCUGUUAAGAAGAAGCCCAAAACAGUAGGUGGCAUAUUCCUUUACAGCAUUUUUUGGCUGACAAUUAGAUGUGCUCUGUUUAUAUCUUUCUUUAUUGAAGGCCAGGAGGACACUUCCGUUGGUUGUGUGACUGGCUUUUAGCUGCAUAAAAUCUGAGAAAACGCUACUCAUGAACUCACACGUAGACGAUGGCGUCGCCGAAGAUGAUUUCUGCAGUGCGCAUGCGUAAAGUCUCAACGACCCCUAUUGGUUCGCUGAACUUCCGGGUGGCACGAGUGACCACGCCCCCCGCGCUAAUGCACCGGAGAGAUGGCGCUACGUCGUAGUCGUACAGCUGAAUUUCUGCAGUAUGGACCGCAGGGGAAGCAGAAACUCCGAUCUCUUCCAGUUUAUCCGCAGAUGAGAAAUAGUCUAAAUAAUAAUAAUAAUAAUAAUAAUAAUAAUAAUAAUAAUAAUAAUAAUAAUACAACACGUGCCUUUGUGUUCAGUUACAUAUUUAUCGAUCAUCUUAACUUUGAGUAAAUAAAU